rnacentral:misc_RNA from 1 species
AAAUGCGAUAAGUAAUGUGAAUUGCAGAAUUCAGUGAAUCAUCGAAUCUUUGAACGCACAUUGCGCCCGCCAGUAUUCUGGCGGGCAUGCCUGUCCGAGCGUCAUUUCAACCAUCAAGCCCCCGGGCUUGUGUUGGGGACCUGCGGCUGCCCGCAGGCCCUGAAAACCAGUGGCGGGCUCGCUGUCACACCGAGUGUAGUAGCAAUCACCUCGCUCAGGGCGUGCUGCGGGUUCCGGCCGUUAAACAGCCUUACAAAACCCAAGGUUGACCUCGGAUCAGGUAGGAAGACCCGCUGAACUUAAGC